rnacentral:rRNA from 1 species
AAGUCGUAACAAGGUUUCCGUAGGUGAACCUGCGGAAGGAUCAUUAUCGAGUUAGGGUCUUCAUGGCCCGACCUCCAACCCUGUGUCUAUAUUACCUAUUGUUGCUUUGGCGGGCCCGUCUUCGGGCCGCCGGCGGUCAGUUUGUGACUUCUGGCCAGUGCCCGCCGAAGACCCCCUAAACUCUGUUGAACCGUGUCGUUCUCAGUCAAAAAAUAAAUUAUUAAAACUUUCAACAACGGAUCUCUUGGUUCUGGCAUCGAUGAAGAACGCAGCGAAAUGCGAUAAGUAAUGCGAAUUGCAGAAUAAGUGAGCCAUCGAAUUUUUGAACGCACAUUGCGCCCUUUGGCAUUCCGAAGGGCAUGCCUGUUCGAGCGUCAUUAACAACCAUCAAGCCUGGGCUUGCCGUUGGACCCGCCCGUAACUGGGCGGGCCCGAAAGUCAGUGGCGGGGCGAGUCGGACCCUAGAUGCAACGAGCUGCCUCAUAACCAGCACGCAUUGAAGCGGCCGGCCCCCCCCAGGCCCUCUCUAUCACAUUUUAUCAAGGUUGACCUCGGAUCAGGUAGGAUUACCCGCUGAACUUAA